GCAACUCGCCUGCAUGAAGUCGGAAUUGCUAGUAAUCGCAGAUCAGCAUGCUGUGGUGAAUACGUUCCCGGGCCUUGUACACACCGCCCGUCACACCAUGAGAGUCGGUAACACCCAAAGUUGGUAGCCUAACCGCAAGGAGGACGCCGCCUAAGGUGGGAUUGAUGACUGGGGUGAAGUCGUAACAAGGUACC
rnacentral:rRNA from 1 species